rnacentral:rRNA from 1 species
GGUUAAGUACGAAAGGGCAGACGGUGGAUGCCUAGGCGACAAGAGGCGAUGAAGGACGUGGCAGGCUGCGAAAAGCCUCGGGGAGCCGCCAAACAGGCUUUGAUCCGAGGAUAUCCGAAUGGGGAAACCCUCCCGGAGUCAUGUCCGGGAAUCCGUCGGUGAAUCCAUAGCCGCCGGAAGCGAACGUUGGGAACUGAAACAUCUCAGUACCUUCAGGAACAGAAAUCAACCGAGAUUCCCCGAGUAGCGGCGAGCGAAAGGGGAAGAGCCCAAACCGAUCGGAUGUAAGCCGGCAGGCGUUGUCCGUUCGGGGUUGUGGGUUCGCGUUUGGUCUUUCUGCCGAAAGACCGGGAAGUCAUAAAAUCCGAUCCUAGUCGAACGAUGUGGGAAAAUCGGCCACAGAGGGUGACAGCCCCGUAGAUAAAAGGAACGGAAUCUUUCUUACGCGACACCCAAGUACCGCGGGACACGAGGAACCCUGCGGGAAUCUGGGAGGACCAUCUUCCAAGGCUAAAUACUCCUUGUCGACCGAUAGUGAACUAGUACCGUGAGGGAAAGGUGAAAAGCACUCCUGUGAGGAGAGUGAAAUAGUACCUGAAACCGUUUGCCUACAAAACAGUGGGAGCCUGGUUGUCCUUCGGGGCAAGCCGGGUGACUGCGUACCUUUUGCAUAAUGGGUCAGCGAGCUGCUUUCCGUGGCAAGGUUAAGCCGCGAGGUGGAGCCGGAGCGAAAGCGAGUCUGAACAGGGCGUUCAGUCGCGGGAAGCAAACCCGAAACUGGAGUGAUCUAUCCAUGGCCAGGCUGAAGCAGGUGUAACAACCUGUGAAGGGCCGAACCCACUGAUGUUGAAAAAUCAGGGGAUGAGCUGUGGAUAGGGGUGAAAGGCCAAUCAAACCCAGAGAUAGCUGGUACUCCCCGAAAUAUAUUUAGGUAUAGCCUCGAGAUAGACGGUCGGAGGUAGAGCACUGGAUGGACUAGGGGCCCUACCAGGUUACCAAACCCAACCAAACUCCGAAUGCCGAUUGUUCGUUUCUCGGGAGUCAGACUACGGGAGAUAAGUUCCGUGGUCGAAAGGGAAAGAGCCCAGAUCGCCAGCUAAGGUCCCAAAAUCCACGCUCAGUGUCAAAGGAGGUGGAACUGCCCAGACAACCAGGAGGUUGGCUUAGAAGCAGCCAUCCUUUAAAGAAAGCGUAAUAGCUCACUGGUCGAGUGGGGCUGCGCCGAAAAUACAACGGGGCUAAGCGUGGUACCGAAGCUGCGGGUUCCUUCGGGAACGGUAGGGGAGCAUUCCAUUGACCGGUGAAGGUGGACCGUGAGGUCUGCUGGAGGAGAUGGAAGAGAGUAUGCUGACAUGAGUAGCGAUAAAAGGGGUGGGAAACCCCUUCGCCGAAAACCUAAGGAUUCCUGGGCAAGGUUAAUCCGCCCAGGGUUAGUCGGUUCCUAAGCCGAGGCCGAGAGGCGUAGGCGAUGGAAAACAGGUUAAUAUUCCUGUACCGGCAAUUUCCGCCCAAGACACGAUGGGGGGACGUGGAAGGAUAGACCUACGGCCCGUUGGACGUGGCCGACCGCUACGUAGGGGGAAGUCUCAGGUAAAUCCGGGACUUCAUUAACUCCGAGGGACGCGGGGAAGUGCGCAUUUUAUGCAAACCAACUGGUUGAUUCCAUGCCACCAAGAAAAGCCUCUAGUGAGGAAGUUGCCGACCGUACCGCAAACCGCCACAGGUAGGUAGGUAGAGUAUACCAAGGCGCUCGAGAGAACCCUCGUUAAGGAACUCGGCAAAAUGACACCGUAACUUCGGGAGAAGGUGUGCCUCCAUUAGGUGAAGCGCCCGCGCGUGGAGCCGAAGGGGGUCGCAGAGAAACGGCUGUAGCGACUGUUUACUAAAAACACAGGACUCUGCAAAGUCGCAAGACGACGUAUAGGGUCUGACGCCUGCCCGGUGCCGGAAGGUUAAGGGGAGUUGUCAUCCCGUCUUCGGACGGGAGAAGCGGCGAACUGAAGCCCCGGUAAACGGCGGCCGUAACUAUAACGGUCCUAAGGUAGCGAAAUUCCUUGUCGGGUAAGUUCCGACCUGCACGAAUGGCGUAACGACUUCAGCGCUGUCUCAACGAGGGACUCGGCGAAAUUGUAGUGUCGGUGAAGAUACCCACUACCCGCGCCUAGACGGAAAGACCCCGUGCACCUUUACUACAACUUUGCAGUGAGUUUUUGGCUAGUCUGUGUAGGAUAGGUGGGAGGCUUUGAAGCCGGGACGCUAGUUUCGGUGGAGCCAACCUUGAAAUACCACCCUGAUUAUCCGGGAAUUCUAACUUGGGCCCGUUAUCCGGGUCGAGGACACUGCAUGGUGGGUAGUUUGACUGGGGCGGUCGCCUCCUAAAAAGUAACGGAGGCGCGCGAAGGUUCCCUCAGGCUGAUUGGAAACCAGCCGCAGAGUGUAAAGGCAUAAGGGAGCUUGACUGCGAGACCAACAAGUCGAGCAGGUGCGAAAGCAGGUCUUAGUGAUCCGGUGGUUCUGUAUGGAAGGGCCAUCGCUUAACGGACAAAAAGGUACGCCGGGGAUAACAGGCUUAUCUCCCCCAAGAGUCCACAUCGACGGGGAGGUUUGGCACCUCGAUGUCGGCUCAUCACAUCCUGGGGCUGUAGAAGGUCCCAAGGGUUCGGCUGUUCGCCGAUUAAAGCGGUACGUGAGCUGGGUUUAGAACGUCGUGAGACAGUUCGGUCCCUAUCUGGCGUGGGUGUUGGAUACCUGAGAAGAGUUGCCUUCAGUACGAGAGGACCAGGGUGAACGGACCUCUAGUGUACCGGUUGUCCCGCCAGGGGCACUGCCGGGUAGCUACGUCCGGACAGGAUAACCGCUGAAAGCAUCUAAGCGGGAAGCCUCCUUCGAAACCAGGUAUCCCUUUCCUUCGGGAACUAAAGACCCCUUGAAGACCACAAGGUUGAUAGGCCGGGGGUAUAAGCGUGGCAACACGUUCAGCUAACCGGUACUAAUCGGUCGUGAGGCUUGCCAA